rnacentral:rRNA from 1 species
CCAAGGAGUCUAACAUGUGCGCGAGUCACUCGGUCUUGUUUAGGCCAGAGAGGCGCAAUGAAAGUAAAGUUGAUUGAGUUACGAUCCUUAUGCAGUUACUCCUAGUGAGUAACGGUAGGGCGCAGUAACAGCCCGCUAAUUUCGCAUAUUGACGAUCUGGCGGAGUUGUAGCGUACACGUUGGUACCCGAAAGAUGGUGAACUAUGCCUGGGCAAGACGAAGCCAGAGGAAACUCUGGUGGAGGUCUGUAGCGAUUCUGACGUGCAAAUCGAUCGUCAGACCUGGGUAUAGGGGCGAAAGACUAAUCGAACCAUC